CACCAGGUUGAUUCUGCCUGACGUGUGUGCUAGUCUUGGGGACUUAGCCAUGCAAGCUAGCGAAGCGGAGCGGAGCGGCGGACGGCUCAGUAGGACGGCGAUAAUUCACCCGCGGCAGAAGAGGGAUAACCGCGGCAAGCUGCGGCUAAGACAAGGGAGGCUGUGUUGCGGGGAGGCGCACGCAGCGGACACGGCGGCGAAGAUGCCGACCUAUCAGCUAGUAGGUAGGGUAAGGGCCUACCUAGGCGACGACGGGUGACGGGGGGUGAGAGCCUGAUACCGGAGAGGGAGCCUGAGAAACAGCUCCCACGUCCAAGGACGGCAGCAGGCGCGAAACUUGCCCAAUCCCUACGGGGGGAGGCAGCUACAAGACGUGGGGAAGCCCCGGAAAGCACGGCAAAGGAGUGCGUAGCGACUGGAGGGCAAGUCUGGUGCCAGCAGCCGCGGUAAUUCCAGCUCCAGGAGCGCACAUGUGUGUUGCUGCAGUUAAAACGUCCGUAGUCGGCCAUGAGGGGCAGUGAGGAAAGGGCUGUGCUCAAGGCGGUGUGCAGCGCGGGACCCGGGGCGAGAGGAACGGACGACGGGCGCGGGAUCUGGGGGCGAGAGGUGAAAAUCGGGGACCCUCUGGGGACGAGCGGAAGCGAAGGCGGCGCCCGAGGACGUGUCCGUUGAUCAAGGACGAAGGCCGGAGGAUCAAAGAUGAUUAGAGACCGUCGUAGUUCCGGCAGUAAACGAUGCCAACGGGGCGAAGCCAAGGGGCUGUGUCCGGGAGAAAUUGGAGUGUUUAGGCUCUGGGGAUAGUACGGUCGCAAGACAGAAACUUAAAGAAAUUGACGGAAGGACACCACAAGGAGUGGAGUGUGCGGCUUAAUUUGACUCAACGCGGGGCAGCUUACCAGUGCCGCAUGCGCGGGAGAUUGGCGGCGGAGCGCCCCCGAGAUUGCGCAGGGAGUGGUGCAUGGCCGUUUGCAACACGUGGGGUGACCUGUCUGGUUGAUUCCGACAACGCGUGAGGCCUAGGGCGCAGGGCUGUGCGACGGGCCGCGGCAAGCGGCAGGAAGGGAGGCGAUAACAGGUCAGUGAUGCCCUCAGAUGCACUGGGCUGCACGCGCACUACAAUGGCGGGGCGAGACGGAGUGCCGAGAGGUGCGAAGGAGGCCUGGCUGCAGCGGGGAUGGGUGCCUGGAAGGGCGCCCUGAACGAGGAAUUCCUAGUAGCCGCGGGUCACCAAGCCGCGGCGAAUGUGUCCCUGUUCUUUGUACACACCGCCCGUCACUACCUAAGAUGGAUGUGCAGGCGAGGUGGCUGGAGGGAAGGCAGCCGAGCCGGUGCAACUAGAUAAGGUAUAAGUCGUAACAAGGCUACGGUUGA
rnacentral:rRNA from 1 species